rnacentral:tRNA from 1 species
CGGGACCAGCUCACCUGGGGGUGAGGCCGCUCUCACACAGCGGACGCGGAGGGUUCGAUCCCCUCGGUCCCGA